ACUGUAGUCCCACCUACUCGGGAGGCUGAGGUGGAAGGAUCACUUGAGCCUUGGAGGCAGAGGUUGCGCUGAGCCGAGAUCGUGUCACUGCACUCCAGCCUGGGUGACAGAGUGAGACUCUGUCUAAAGAAAAAGAAACUUACAGAAUCUCAGGGUUGAAAGAGACCUUUAUUUAGGUCAUGUAGCUGAGCCCACGCUACUGCAGAAUCCUCACAAGUUGUCAUGCAACCUCUAUACCAGCUGCUGCAAGGAUGGGAGCCCAUGUGCCUAGAAGCCGCUUCUCUUGUCUCCAGGUUCUAAGGAAGAAGUCUGGAAACAACUGUGACUAUACUACCUUGCUGAAACCACGUGGAGGAUGGAUGAACAUCUCUUGGAUGGAUGGGACUGAAACUGAACCUUGAAAGAUAAUGCUGAGCCUGGAUAAGUGCCCCACCGUCCCUCUGCCCAAAUUCAAAUCCUUCAUGGCCCAGUGCAAACAACUUCUCAAAAGCCCCAAACAUCUUUGUCUAACAGGAAGCUUUUAGCUUUUUUACUGUUUUGACAUUCAUUUCCCACUUAGUAUUAUGCUUACUUGUGUAUUAACCUUGUCACCCCUACUAGACUAUAAAAUUCUUAAAAACAGGAUUCAUGCUUGAUUCAUCUUUGUAUACCCUAAGAUUUCCCAAGACCACAACUUGAUCAUAAGAGGGUUUCAAUGCCUAUUUGCUAAAUAAAUGUAUCGGGGAAUGAAUGAAGGAAAUCAAAGUGAAAUAACAGAAGCUAAGAAUGAGCUGUCAAACAAAAGGGACACCAAGUCCAUGUGCCUGACUAGAACAGGUAUAUGCUCAAAAGGGAUAAAGAAAUUAAGUUGGGCCAGGCACAAUGGCUCAUGCCUCUAAUCCCAGCACUUUGGGAGGUCAAGGAAGGAGGAUUACUUGAGGCCAG
rnacentral:lncRNA from 10 species